GAAAUACUCCCUCCGUCCGGAAAUACUUGUCAUCAAAAUGGAUAAAAGGAAAUGUAUCUAGACGUAUUUUAGUUUUAGAUACAUCUCUUUUUAUCCAUUUUGAUGACAAGUAUUUUCGGACGGAGGGAGUAGAAA
rnacentral:pre_miRNA from 1 species